UACGUAGGGGGCAAGCGUUGUCCGGAAUCAUUGGGCGUAAAGAGCGCGUAGGCGGUCCGGUAAGGCCGCUCUGAAAGUCCGGGGCUCAACCCCGGGAGGCGGGCGGAUACUGUCGGGCUAGAGUCCGGAAGAGGCGAGUGGAAUUCCUGGUGUAGCGGUGGAAUGCGCAGAUAUCAGGAGGAACACCUAUGGCGAAGGCAGCUCUCUGGUACGUGACUGACGCUGAGACGCGAAAGCGUGGGGAGCGAACAGG
rnacentral:rRNA from 1 species